CAGUCGCCGCGGUAAUACGGAGGGUGCAAGCGUUAAUCGGAAUUACUGGGCGUAAAGCGCACGCAGGCGGUCUGUCAAGUCAGAUGUGAAAUCCCCGGGCUUAACCUGGGAACUGCAUUUGAAACUGGCAGGCUAGAGUCUUGUAGAGGGGAGUAGAAUUCCAGGUGUAGCGGUGAAAUACGUAGAGAUCUGGAGGAAUACCGGUGGCGAAGGCGGCCCCCUGGACAAAGACUGACGCUCAGGUGCGAAAGCGUGGGGAGCAAACAGGAUUAGAGACCCGAGUAGUCCCUGUCUCUUAUAC
rnacentral:rRNA from 1 species